GCCUUUAUAGGUAAAAGGGCGUAAAGGGUGUGUAGGCCGACAAUUUCCCCCCCCCCCAAGGUGGUAAAUGGAAUUUUUCUGUAACGGUAGAAUGUGUGGAUAGAAAAUAGAACCCCAAAGGCAAAAGCGAUUUACCUCGGGGAAGGGGGUGGGAAACCUGAUAUUCCCGAUCGGGACCUAUCACUCCCCCCCCCCGAGCACAGGCUGAAACACGAGGGUGUGGGUAACAAACAGGAUUAGAGACCCUGGUAGUCCACACUGUAAACGAUGAAGAAAAUGUUAAUGCAACCCCGAAAGGUAGUAAUCUUCCGCCUGAGUAGUACGAUCGCAAGAUUAAAAUUCAAAAAAUUUGGCUGUUCACUGUUUCGAUUAGAGGAGCGUGUAGUUUAAUUCGAUAAACCGCGAGAUACCUUACCCAAACUUGAAUCACCCAUCCGAGAUUGAAUGGUCUCGGGAGGGUAGACCGGUAUUGCAUGGCCGUCGUCAGUUCGUGUAUGAAACCUUUAACGGACCUAACCCGGGGGUUAGCUGCGGAUGAAGUCAGGUCUUAUGAUCCCUAUGUUUGGGGACAAUAUGCGCUACAUUUUCUUAUACAAUGGGAAACCUGAAAGGUGAAACCCCAAAGUAGGAGUUCGGUAGGUCAUUGUAAGAUGACCGAAAGUUGAAUUUAAUAGUAAUCUUAAGG
rnacentral:rRNA from 1 species